rnacentral:tRNA from 1 species
GGGCACUUGGCGCAGCUGGUUAGCGCGCUACAUUCACAUUGUAGAGGUCACUGGUUCGAGUCCAGUAGUGCCCA